AACGAACGCUGGCGGCAGGCUUAACACAUGCAAGUCGAGCGCCCCACGAGGGGCGCGCCAGUCUGGUGAGUAACGCGUGGGAACGUACCCUUCUCUUCUGGAUAGCUCCUGGAAACUGGAAUUAAUACCGAAAGUGCCCUUUAUAGCAAAGAUUUAUGGGAUAAGGAUGGGACCUCGUUGGAUUAGCUAGUUGGUGUGGUAAAGGCCUACCAAGGCGACGAUCCAUAGCUGUUCUGAGAGGACGAUCGGCCACAUUGAGACUGAGCCACGGCCCAAACUCCUACGGGAUGCAGCAGUGGGGAAUAUUGGACAAUGGGGGCAAGGCUGAUCCAGCCAUGACGGGUGAGCGAUGAAGGCCUUAGGGUUGUAAAGCGCUUUCACCGGAGAAGAUAAUGACGGUAUCCGGAGAAGAAGCCCCGGCUAACUUCGUG
rnacentral:rRNA from 1 species